GGUAGCUCAGUUGGUUAGAGCAUGGUGCUGAUAAUGCCAAGGUCACAGGUUUGAUCCCCAUAAGGGACA
rnacentral:tRNA from 1 species